ACUGUGAGAAUAUCUUUAAUGGAUUCUCUAUUUCUCAGUUUCACUUGGGGUUUAGUAUUUUUUUUCCUGUUUUAAAGCCCAAGGAGUGAAAACCUUGUAUUAACUGUUUUGAAACUCUGUGGGUGCAAUGCAGCAGCUGUACAUUCAACAUCAAAGCAUUUGAUUAUGUUUAACUGAGGGGGUUCUCCUUCCCUGCCCUAUUCCUUCCUGUGUCUCAGGCAUUCCCUGCAGAUUUAUGCAUUUUAUCACUUCAAGGUUUUCAAAAUACAUUUUAAUUGCUAGGUAACUUUUUCUGUAAGACUCUUGUUGAUGCACGUUUGUAAUUUUUUUAAAAUGUGACUGACAAUGCCACAGGUGAAAUGCAGCCAGAGAAGGAACCAGGGCGUGGGCAGAUUGUCACACAUUGCACAAUCCCGCAGUGCUGUGCCCGUGCACAUAUCUCAGAUAAGUUAAAUGUGCAUUUCAACCCCUCUCCUCUGACUCUGGUCCUUUUAUGGUGAGACUUGGCACAGGAUGCUCUCCAUAUGCCUUCAUUCCUCUCAUCUUACAGUUCCCACAGCCACGGCAUUAUUUUGUCCUUCUUCUCUGUUUUCUUCAGUGCUUUUAUUACUAGACAGAUUAUUACAUCCAUGUAAUUAGCAAUUUUGCUGCCAAUAGUAUUGUAUUUUUUACGCAGGGGCUACAGUGUUAAUUUCAAAGCAGUAAAUGCAAGGCUCAUUUGGUAUUUUUCUUCUCAGGAAGGCCUUCAAAUGCCACUGGAUGAAUGAACAAUCCUGAUGCUUUACAAAGAAAAGAUAGGAUAAUUCACAAUUCUCUAUUUUCAGUAAGGCGCUUAGUGUUUCCAUGCAUUGUAAUUGUAGCAUUUAAAACUGUAGACAUGAUAAAUAGUGAGAAAUUAAUAUUUUUGCCAAAUGGAAGUAUGGCUCACACAUAAAGUUUCCUGCUAGCAGUGUGAAACCAAACUUUAGUGUUGUUAAAUAAAUGACUGUUCUGCUAAUAAAUGAAUGUUUAAGUCAAAGCAACAAUUGUAGUAGAUGAGGUAAAGACGUUUUUUUACCUGGACUUCAGCAUAGGAUUUGACACUAUUACCCACAGCAUUCUCCUGGAGAAAGUGUCUGUUCAUGGCUUGGACAGGUGCAGUGUUUGCAGGGUAUAGAACAGUCUGAAUGGGUGAUGCCAAAGAGUGGUGUCAAAUGAAGUCAAAUCCACUUGGCUCACUAUUGCUACUGGUGUUUCCCAGGGCUCAGUCCUGUGUUCAAUCUCUCUUAGUAUCUUUAUCUGGAUGGGAGUGUUGAGUGCACCCUUAGUCAGAUAACACCAAGUUGGAUGGAGGUAUUGAUCUGCUGGAGGGUAGGAAAGCUCUGCAGACAGAUUUGGACAGGCUGGAUCCAUGGGCCAAGGCCAAUUGUAUGAGGUUCAAUAAAGCAAAGUGUUGGGCCCUACCCUUGGAAUCCAACAGCUGGUGCUACAGACUGGGGGUAGAGUGGAUGCAAAGUGGAAAAGGACCUGGAGGUGAACAGCAGCUGAACAUGGGCCAGUGUGUGCCCAGGUGGCCAAGAAGGCCAAUGGAAUCCUGACUUGUAUCAGAAAUAACGUGGCCAGCAGGACCAAGGCAGUGACUGUCCCUCUGCACUGGACACUGGAAGCCACACCUCAAGUCCUGUGUCCAGUUCUGGGCCCCUCAGGACAGGAAAGACACUGAGGUGCUGGAGUGUGUCCAGAGAAGGGCAACAGUACUGGUGAUGGCUCUGGAGCACAAAUCUGAUGAGGAGUGGCUGAGGGACUUGGAGGUGUUCAGCCCAGAGAAAAGGAGGCUCAGGGCUGCUCUUAUCAGUCUCUACAACUGCCUGAAAGGAGGCUGCAGCCAGGUGGGUGUGGGUCUCCUCUCCCAAGCAACAGCACAACAGGAUAUGGCCUCAAAUUGUGCUGUGGGAGCAAAAAAAAAAAAAAAAAAAAAAAUACUAGGAAAUUUUUUUUCAGGCUGCCCAGAGAAGUGGGUGAGUUACCACUGCUGAAGGUAUUUAAAAGGUGUGAUGUGCCACUUAGGGAAAAAGUUUAGUGGUGGACUUAGCAGUGCUAAAUUAACAGCUGGACUGAGUGAUCUCAGAGGUCUUUUAUAACCUAAAUGAAUCCAAAUAACCUCUUGUAGCUAAUUUGUUCACUUAUGGUUACCUUGUCUCACCACUGAGAGACAUAGAGAAUCACAAAGGACUUUUAUUAGAGAAAGUGACUUUAAUUGGCUCUACCACAUAAGAGGAAUCAAGAAAGUAAGGUGCUCAGAAGAAAUAGAGCACAUGUCAUAAUUGUAAGAUACAUAUUUGAUUUGUACCAGGGGAAUUCUGGGAAAAACAAAAAUAUGAAUAACCUAAGCAAAAAUUUUUAAAACCCAGGAAACUGCAUGGACAUAUUUUAGAUAAGGCAAGGGUUUUAUCCCUAUCUCUCUGCUUCCGUCUGGAUCUUAAUAACAGACUCAGUGAAUAUUGAUUUCAAAAAAUUUUGGCCUUAUCUGUGACUGCAUUACCCCCAGUACCUUCUGUUCCAUACAUCUCCCUACACUGCUGAAGGAAAAGGAACAAAGCAUAUAUAAACACAGUAUUUAUCCUUUGACUUAAAAUCAAAGCACUUGUAACUAAAACCAGGGAAAUGGGGAGAGGAAUGGAGCAAUGGAGGUGUCUUGCUAUCAGUAACUGGAGCACUUUCUGCAUAUUUCAAUUCCAAGCUGAGCUGAAUGCUCUCACGUUCUUGCUAAUAGCCCCAUUUUUUUUUUCAGAUUUCUCUUCAAUGCUGCUGAAAUCCGGGGGAGAAUUCCUGUUCAUUUCAAGGUUUUAACUAUAUUUGUUUUCCUGUCUAGUGGUAUUAAAGUACUAGAAUCUAAAUUUUCUAAAAUACACUCUUUGUGAUGCCUAGAUCUUGUUGCAUUUCCUAUUUUAUCUCGGCAUCUAGAACAAUUAAGAAGGAAAAGCACAGAUAAUGAUGGUAUUGCUUUCAGAUAGGAAUGGAAUAAAAUCCUUUUUGGAUUAUCUUCUUGAUACAGUUAAGGAAUGUAGCUUUGCCUAUUGUGGAAACAUGGUGGAUUUUGGUGUUUGCGUUUUUUUUUCAGACGUGCACAACUCACAGAUUAAAUCAAUGUUUACCAUAGGAAAUGGUAUGUAACUGAUGGAAACUAAUUGCAGUGUCUCAUAAACAAUUAUUGUUGUUAAAUUUUGAUCUUUAUUUCUUAAUUUUUGCCUAUCACUGCAGAACUCUGAGAUUUCACUUUUCAUGACAAAAAAAGCUUCACUGUUUCUUAAAGUCCCAGUGGCAUACUACCUCAUAACUUUGCAUCAGGGCUUCAGAUAUUGCUCAGUUCUUAUUAUCAUGGUAUAAAAGAGAUGCUUUGAAAAAUGAGCAGAACUUUAUAAAAUCUCUGAAACCUCUAAGUUAAGAGACCCAUGUGCUUAGAUCCCUACAUAAUCUAGCAAUCAUUACUCUUUUCCUGCUAUGUGUGGCAGAUAGAUGGAGGCAGUUGGGCUAAUUAAAACCCAGCAUCAAAAUACUGAGCCUGUUUAAUGUAUUUUUUUGAGCUUCUGUUGCUAAUGCUGUGUAUAAUCUGUAAUUUAUUUCCUUUUCUCAUUAUGCAUUAAACUAUGAAUAGGAUAAGUGUUGUGUUAAAGUGUUUGUGUCGUGUUGAUAAGGUUGUAUUCAUACCUGUGAGGCUGUAGCACAGCAGUGAGUGUUUUAUCUUUACAUUAUGGCACUACAUUAAUUUUUGUAUGAUACACUCAAAAUACUAAAAGGAAUGGUAGAGGAAGGAGUAGAGAUUUGUUUUCAAGUUGCAUUUUUUCAGUCAUUUUGUGUAUUUUCCAAGUGGUCUAAACCUUGUUAUAAUUCCUGUCAAAUUUUAUUAAAAAUAAUGCCCAAAACUUCUAAUUAAUUAGCUGAUUGGGGGCAUAAAAUGUUCUUUCUGACCAUCUAUUUUUAUUUUUGUUUACUUUUGAAGUAUGAAUGGGGUGGAAAAUCCUUCCACUAAAAGGCAGAUGGAGAUAAUUGAACUCUUUUCAUGCAGUCCCAGGUAGAAAUCAAAUCCAAGACCUAGAGGUGAAAGGUGAGCUCUGUAACUACUAUACCAAACUAUUCUUGGUAAUUAUCAGCAUGAGCAUAAUUAUUAACGUUUCAAUUAUACUCACAGUUUUACAUCUCUCCAAGGGGUUUAACUCCACUGAUUUUCAACUUGUCUUAUUUUUUUGGUAGACAUCCAGUUGGAACAAAGUUGCUGGAUAAUAUUUUUGACACAAAAGGGUAACAUGCUUUUCAAAAUACAGGAUCUAUAUGUUUUGUCCUCAGUGACACUUGUAUGCUUCCAGAUUUUGAUUGCUUGGUAACACUGCUUGGCAUAGUGGGUAGAUUUAAAUAGAUUUAAAUAACACUGGAAAUAAAAACUUACACAGGAAAUAAUAAAACUGUAUCCAAACUCUUCUCUUGUAAAAUAUAUAGUUUGAAAUUGAGACCUAAAUUCAUCCUUUAAUUUUAAAAUGUUACUCAAUCUUUGUCUGUUUUUUAAUAAUUUUACAUAUGUUUCUUAAAAUUUAUUUAGUCAAUGCAUGAAGCCACAAAAUGUAUCUAUUUUAAAAUAUUUUGUUAUGUAUCUAAACUUUUUCUGAGCACUCAAUAUUAAAAUGCUUAAUAAAAGGAUUUAUGAUCAGUGGGAAUCACAUAAGAUAUUUCUGUUGUCUUUAUUAAUUCUAUAUAAUCAUCUUUAGUGCUUGUACUUUAUGGUUGAAUUUGAGUUACUGGGUAUGUGAGCAUCUGUGAGUAAAGGUGCUGUAUUAUUUUGUAUUUAUGGUAGUGGUACUUUCAGGAAAGGCUUAUGAGAGAGACCAGCCUAUUUGGAGGACAAAUGGAGACUUCAGCAUGAGGAGUGAGUAUAACAGUAAAAGUGACUCCCAUCCUAGAGACACGUGAAUCAGCACAAAACAAAUUAAACAAGACAACGUUAAACAGCAGCAAAGGUAGCACCCUGUACUCCUGCUUCUCAUCACAUGGGAGUGAAAGAAACCUUGUUUAGCAACUGUAAAAUCCUUAAAUCUUCACAAGAAAAUGGCAAACGUCCAACAGGGCUGUAAGAGAGAAGACUACACAGCCUGUACUGAAAUUGUAUGGCCAUUUUAAUAUUUUUCUGUAAGAACCAUCCUUUUUAAGGUUAUAAGUUGAUAUAAGUUACUGAUGCAUGAAAAACAUGCUAUCGCUUUGGAGGACCUUCCCUACCUCCCCAGCCCAACACCAGAAUGUCUUUAGAUGCUAUUAAAAAAUGUACUUUUAUGAAAAGGUAAACCUUUGUCAUUCAAGUUAAGGGGUAAAAAUAAGCACUCUAAUGAGGGAUACAGUAGGGGCUUAAGCUAUUUUGCAUAUAUUAGUGUCAUGCAAAAUUUCAAAAACAACCUCACUUUCAGUUCAGAAACAGAAAAGGAAGACCAACAGAUAAGGUAGGUAUCUAUAAACAUGGAAGGCUGCAAUGAGAUCAUCAGCUCUCUGGAAGAAGGACAAUCAAAACUAACUCAAUGCAGUUCUACAGCAGAGUGGUAAAAAUCACUAGGAGGAAUGUAAAUUUCAUUUACAAUGCCAGGUAAAAUUUCCAUUAUGAAAUGAUCACAUAAGUGUCAUAAAAUAUAAAAAUUGUUUAUGAUUUUAUGAUUUUAACUGAAAAACUUAUUAAAAAAAUGAAACAUAAGCCAAAAUCACAUACAAAAAAUAUUAGGUACCAUAAUGGUGCUUCCACAAUUAAUAUAAAAUUUCCAAGAUGAAAUUAAGGAACAAAAAUGCCUUCUGGGCAUAUUAUACCCAGAAAAACACUUUGGAUUCUGAAAAGUAAAACUAUCUGCUAAUUUUGCCAGCACUGCCUGCAGAUACAGUGUGCCAUAAACCAGAGGAUGCCGCAAGGAAUAAUGAAAAGGAGAGAAAAGGGUUGGAGAUAAAUGUCUACAGUAAUACCGGGGACAGAUGCUGUGGGAUAAUAUUACAGGAAAUACAAUCUGGGUUUUGUCUUAAAUGGAGGUGGAAACUGAUAAUUUUAGUAUUCAUGGAUGUUGUUGAAUAGGUAAUUAGUCAGAAUACAUUCCCUUAUUUUAUAUUACAGGUACAGAUGCUGAAGAAAGCCCCUGUGAACGGGAUGCAGCUAUUUUUGUUGCAGCAGUAUACAGGUCUAUUGCCUGCCAGCAAGUCACACUAUUAUAGGCAGGAAGUCAAGCAGCUGGCAGAACUGUGCAGUCUCAGAUAUGUAUUGGUGCUGCUGACCAUUCUCAGCCUACCUACCCAGGAAAAUGUAACACCCAAGUUAAAACAGCAUUAAGGAUGGCUGCAAAGAUAAUAUGCAGACAUGAGACCCUAACCACUUGCUG